rnacentral:rRNA from 1 species
UUCCGGUUGAUCCUGCCGGAGGCCACUGCUAUCGGGGUCCGACUAAGCCAUGCGAGUCAAGGGGCGCCUCGCGCGACCGGCGGACGGCUCAGUAACACGUCGGCAACCUACCCUCGGGAGGGGGACAACCCCGGGAAACUGGGGCUAAUCCCCCAUAGGCGUGGGGUACUGGAAAGUCCCCACGCCGAAAGCUCCGGCGCCCGAGGAUGGGCCGGCGGCCGAAUAAGUAGUUGGUGGGGUAACGGCCCACCAAGCCUACGAUCGGUACGGGCUGUGAGAGCAGGAGCCCGGAGAUGGACACUGAGACACGGGUCCAGGCCUACGGGGCGCAGCAGGCGCGAAACCUCCGCAAUGCGGGAAACCGCGACGGGGGGACCCCGAGUGCCACGGCUUUGCCACGGCUUUUCCGGAGU